GCAUCAAUAUCAGACAGCAAAAGGGAAGGAAAGAAGAAAGCUACAGGAAGAAGGAUAAAAAGGAUUUAAAAGAAUAAUGUCCAACUAUGGCACCAAAUACUUUUCCUCUACAUAGGGAAGAAAAUAUACAAAGCACUUGAAAAACUGCCUUGAGAGAUGAUCUAAUUGUUAGCUGGAUAACUGAAAAUACAGCCAGACGUCAUAAUAUCCCUGGACAAGAAACUGAAGAAUGUUUCUCUGGAGAAACGAGCCUGAGAGAGAGAAAGAAAUGGGAG